CAGCACUUUUUGAUCUAUAGAGAACAUGGUCACCCCAUCCAAACAUUGAAUUAUCUAAGCUACUGAGGACAUAGAGGUUAUGAAGGUGUUCAGUCUGGUUAUGAAGGUGUUGAGUCUGGUUAUAAAGGUGUUGAGUCUGGUUAUGAAGGCGCUGAGUCUGGUUAUGAAGGUGUUGAGUCUGGUUAUGAAGGUGUUGAGUCUGGUUAUAAAGGUGUUGAGUCUGGUUAUGAAGGUGUUGAGUCUGGUUAUGAAGGUGAUGAGUCUGGUUAUGAAGGUGUUGAGUCUGGUUAUGAAGGUGAUGAGUCUGGUUAUGAAGGUGAUGAGUCUGGUUAUGAAGGUGAUGAGUCUGGUGG
ensembl:lncRNA